rnacentral:tRNA from 2 species
CGGGAUGUAGCGCAGUUUGGUAGCGCACUAGCAUGGGGUGUUAGGGGCCGCAGGUUCAAAUCCUGUCAUCCCGA